rnacentral:rRNA from 1 species
CAGUAGCCACGGUAAUACGGAGGGUGCAAGCGUUAAUCGGAAUUACUGGGCGUAAAGCGCACGCAGGCGGUCUGUCAAGUCAGAUGUGAAAUCCCCGGGCUUAACUUGGGAACUGCAUUUGAAACUGGCAGGCUAGAGUCUUGUAGAGGGGGGUAGAAUUCCAGGUGUAGCGGUGAAAUGCGUAGAGAUCUGGAGGAAUACCGGUGGCGAAGGCGGCCCCCUGGACAAAGACUGACGCUCAGGUGCGAAAGCGUGGGGAGCAAACAGGAUUAGAUACCCCUGUAGUCCCUGUCUCUUAUAC